GUAGGGAAUAUUGGGCAAUGGUCGGAAGACUGACCCAGCCAUGCCGCGUGCAGGAAGACGGCCCUCUGGGUUGUAAACUGCUUUUAUCUGGGAAGAAAAAGGCCAUGCGUGGCAAAUUGCCGGUACCAGAUGAAUAAGCACCGGCUAACUCCGUGCCAGCAGCCGCGGUAAUACGGAGGGUGCGAGCGUUGUCCGGAUUUAUUGGGUUUAAAGGGUGCGUAGGCGGCUGCUUAAGUCAGCGGUGAAAGACUUCGGCUUAACCGGAGCAGUGCCGUUGAUACUGGUUGGCUUGAGUGUCGGAGGGGUACAUGGAAUUGAUGGUGUAGCGGUGAAAUGCAUAGAUACCAUCAGGAACACCGAUAGCGAAGGCAUUGUACUGGCCGACAACUGACGCUGAUGCACGAAAGUGUGGGGAUCGAACAGGAUUAGAUACCCCGGUAGUCC
rnacentral:rRNA from 1 species